rnacentral:rRNA from 1 species
CCUACGGGGCGCAGCAGUAGGGAAUCUUCCACAAUGGACGAAAGUCUGAUGGAGCAACGCCGCGUGAGUGAAGAAGGGUUUCGGCUCGUAAAGCUCUGUUGGGAGUGAAGAAAGAUAGAGGUAGUAACUGGCCUUUAUUUGACGGUAAUUACUUAGAAAGUCACGGCUAACUACGUGCCAGCAGGCGCGGGAAUAAGUAGGGGGCAAGCGGUGUUCGGAUUUAUUGGGGGUAAAGCGAGUGCAGGCGGGUUAAUAAGGGU